rnacentral:rRNA from 1 species
CCUACGGGUGGCAGCAGUCGAGAAUCAUUCACAAUGGGGGAAACCCUGAUGGUGCGACGCCGCGUGGGGGAAUGAAGGUCUUCGGAUUGUAAACCCCUGUCAUGUGGGAGCAAAUUAAAAAGAUAGUACCACAAGAGGAAGAGACGGCUAACUCUGUGCCAGCAGCCUCGGUAAUACAGAGGUCUCAAGCGUUGUUCGGAAUCACUGGGCGGAAAGCGUGCGUAGGCGGGUUAGUAAGUCUGGUGUGAAAGGCGCGGGCUCAACCCGCGGACGGCACAUGAUACUGCGAGACUAGAGUAAUGGAGGGGGAACCGGAAUUCUCGGUGUAGCAGUGAAAUGCGUAGAUAUCGAGAGGAACACUCGUGGCGAAGGCGGGUUCCUGGACAUUAACUGACGCUGAGGCACGAAGGCGAGGGGAGCGAAAGGGAUUAGAUACCCGAGUAGUC